CCUGUCCCCCAUGUCUCCAAGGCAGGCAACUGAGCCACCCCCACCUUUGCAUGACCAGGCCCAUAAAAACCCCAGAGUCGGCCAAACUGGAGCAGAGGAUGGAGAGACAAAGGGAGAUGAUGAGAUGACCAGCUGCAGAGAGGAGCUGACCACCCCAGGGUUUCCUGUCUGCUGAGAACCAAGGAGAUGAUAGGACGACCAGCUGCAGGGAGAAACUACCCUCUCUGCUAAGAGCUGGGCACUUGACGGGAUGACCUGCCUAGCAGAGAGGAGAUACCCUCUCUGCUGAGAGCUGAAGAGAU
rnacentral:lncRNA from 10 species